rnacentral:rRNA from 5 species
CAUGCCGAACUCAGAAGUGAAACGCCGUAGCGCCGAUGGUAGUGUGGGGUCUCCCCAUGCGAGAGUAGGGAACUGCCAGGC